UACGAAGGGGGCUAGCGUUGUUCGGAUUUACUGGGCGUAAAGCGCACGUAGGCGGAUUGUUAAGUCAGGGGUGAAAUCCUGGAGCUCAACUCCAGAACUGCCUUUGAUACUGGCAAUCUUGAGUCCGGAAGAGGUGAGUGGAACUCCUAGUGUAGAGGUGGAAUUCGUAGAUAUUAGGAAGAACACCAGUGGCGAAGGCGGCCCACUGGUCCGGUACUGACGCUGAGGUGCGAAAGCGUGGGGAGCAAACAGG
rnacentral:rRNA from 1 species